GUGUCAGCCGCCGCGGUAAUACCAGCUCCGCGAGUGGUCGGGGUGAUUACUGGGCCUAAAGCGCCUGUAGCCGGCCCACCAAGUCGCCCCUUAAAGUCCCCGGCUCAACCGGGGAACUGGGGGCGAUACUGGUGGGCUAGGGGGCGGGAGAGGCGGGGGGUACUCCCGGAGUAGGGGCGAAAUCCUUAGAUACCGGGAGGACCACCAGUGGCGGAAGCGCCCCGCUAGAACGCGCCCGACGGUGAGAGGCGAAAGCCGGGGCAGCAAACGGGAUUAGAUACCCCGGUAGUCC
rnacentral:rRNA from 1 species